CAGCCUCCUACUGAAUGUCCUCUGCCCUCACAAGUCUGUCUCCUGGGUCUUUUCAGAUUUUCAGAAGAGCCGUUUGGAGCCCUUUAGAGUUAUGGUUUUGUGUAUGCGACAUGAAAUGGUAAUGCCAGCUGUCUCGGCACGUUGAAGGGAGGAGAACAAAAAUUGAGCAGGCUAUCUUGUCUCAUUUGCCUGGUCCGUCAUCACAAAGCCAACGAGUUGUUUAGUUACAAGCUCUCAGAAGGACCGUAAUAAGCGUGUUUGGUCCGUAGGCAGCAGGGUGCAGGCUGCCCGAGUCCCCCUCCUGUGUUAGAUGGAUGAUGCUGGUGGCGAGUGGACACACGCACCCUGCCUGAAUAUGAACAUCAGAUUUGUCAGCGUGUGACAGGCUGACAGCCCAGCUCCCAGCUGCUUGUCCACUGUGGUUAUAUCAGCACCUUGUCUGAGCCUUCAGCGAAGAGGCAGUCUGCUCCCUCCAUUCAUGGGAGGCAGGUUGCACUUAAAAAAAAAAAAGGAAGAAAAACCUAGUUCUGGCUUCAGGCUGCGUGUGCCACAACACAUUGAAAGGAGAUGAUUUAAACCUCUCUGUGCUCUUCCAGCCACACAUGGUCGGCCCUAGAAGUCCUGCCCUCCAGGUGAGGUUUCAGAACAAAGAAGGUGACUCGGACUGAGUCCUUCAGUGGCUAAACA
rnacentral:lncRNA from 1 species